CAGAUAAGGAGAAUCCUUCCAUCAUUAAAGACACAUUUUCCACAUGAGGAUUUUAAUGGACAUGAAUAGACACCGUAAGAUUGACAGAAUGAUUCCAGCGCAGUGUCAGCAGUAGCACAUACAAGAUGAAGUAGUUCAGUGCAGGCGGCUUCCUCGGGAUGCAGUGGACUGUCAACAGUUAGGGAGAAUUUCUCACUAGGUGAGUAUCUCUAGCUAUUUUGCUUUGCUCUGGUGGUGUCGGUUCCUAACUGAUAGUGCAUAGAUCUGUGUAAAUGUGGAGCCUGCUAGUCUCUCCACAAUCCAUUUGAAAGCUAAAGUUCCUUAAAAGUGGCAAACAUGCUCUGUAAGAGUAACUGUGGGCCAGGCAUUGUUCCAAGUGCUUUACGUGUAGUAACUCAUUGUAGCCUUACGACAACCCUAUGAGGGAAAACUAGAUCUUUGUUUUAGAAAUGAGAAAACUAGGAAAAGCCUGCAAAAUGCUUCUUCCUCCAUAGCUUCAAAAGGCAUCCUCCAAAGCAGGUACCCACAUGCAAAACUCCAAGAGGUAGAGUCAGGAUUUGGACAGAAGCAGCGGGGCUCUAGAGUCUGUCCUCCCAAGCAUUAUACUGUGGAUUUUCAGGAUGCCCACUGCCGGUGAACACGUCCAGGAGAGAGGGCAAGCGGAGUACUUCAUUGGCUUGAGGAUGACCUAACGUGCUCCGGAAGCCUGCAGUUAAUUCAGCAUGCUAACACUGACAGAAUGAAUGCCAGACAUCAGCAAGUAGUUGAGAGGUGGGGCACAUUGACCACAGCGCCGAGUCUGGGUCUCAAGGAGAAUGUUCUCAUGCUGUUUCUGUGGAAGAUGCUCCAGCUGGAAAGAGCUCUCCUCACAAACACAAGGAAUCAGUCUGCGUCUCAGCCAAGGCACCAUCCAAGCAGACAGACACAGAACUGAAUCUGCUAAGGAUAUUAGAAGAAUAAUGUUGGGGAAAGUAGGGUCAGAGGAGGGAACGUCAUGAAGUUCGUUCAGAAGAGAAUAAAAGGAGCAAGUAGACUUCCCUUCACAACGUAAACUGACCCCAUUCCAACAUGGUCUUUCGGAAAAGGAGCCAUCCUAGAGACACGUACUCAGCUGUGCCAGAGGAGAUGUUGGACAGAUUUCCAUGACAUAAGAAGUUGUGCUUCUCUUGAGUGAUGGCUUACUACAAUUCUUAGGACAUUACAUAUCUGAAACUGGAAGCUAUUUGGAGGAUAAUGACCACGACGUAGAGAGGAACUAUUGGAUUUCGUUGGUGCAGCACUAACAAAUACUUGGCUUGGAGAAGAUGAAGUCCAAGAUGGAUAUGGUUUGGCUUUCUGCCUGGAUCAAAAGUAGGAAAUGUAUUUGCCUUUGAGAAAAGGAUUUGUGACCUGACUUUUGUUUUCCAGUGCCGUUUUGUAGAAAUCUGCAACCGCACACUACCCAGAUUCAUCGUCAAUUAUACAUUUCUUGUACAUAUCUUCUAGGACUCAUAUGCAAGUUUCUCUAGGUUUUGUUACUAGGAGUAAAAUCCCUGGGUUAUAGUUUGGCUUUUAGCCAGCCAGAAGGACCUUCAAUAGCAGAGAAAAUUCUUCCUCUCCAACAGCUGGCACAGUCAGCAGGAUACCUCAACUUGCUGGACACAGCUCACCCCACACACUGCUACAGCUGAGAGAUCCUUGAGAAAUCUGACAAGCAGAGGCAAAAGGCAGAGAUUUCAAGGGGCUGACAUGGCAAGAAAUCUUAUCUCUGGAGUCUGAUGGAGCAAGAGUGGAAACUAUUUGGAAAUAGUGGCUGUAUUACUAAGGCUUUGAAUGGAAUGGUAUAUUUGGGAGAAAGAUGCAUAGACUUACGUAUGACCAGACAGCUUUGAAGAACUAAGGUGGACUUUAUGGAGCUAAUAAAGCCCUUGUAAAUAGAAGCCUGAUACUAGCUUAUGGAAUUCCCAGCAGUAUUACCAGAAAUGCAUCUUAUUAAAUACCUGAUCACUUGUACCUUAUAGACCUAACUUUGGAAGCACACCUGCCACACUACCUCCUGAAAGGAAAAGCAACUCUUUAACUGAACUCACCUAUUCUCAAGAUUAAAAGACUGGUUCAAUGAAAUAUGGAACACUCAUCAAUUCAGUUUCUGGACUACCAAAGUUAUUGGGGAAGUUUCAAGAUAGGACUAAAGCAGAACAGAGUGUGCUGACCCAAAAUAAGCAUCUUUGGCAGAAAGAUUAUUUUGAGCUAAUUAUUUUUAAAACACAGCAGACACAGGAAAAAGCCAGUAGAAGUUACGAUUUUGUAAGAGACAUUGGUUGACAUUUAUAAGGGAAAUCUCCAUUUAUAAGGGUGUCUCCCUUUCUGAACCAGGAAGAGAAGGCUGACUAAAUCUCUAGAAACUCCUAUCAGCCAUACCCUUGUUUACUCUGCUUUGCCUGAUAACUUCUCCUUAUAUCUUUUGUCUUUAGCUGUAGAUGGUAUUUAGGUGGUGGUUUGAAUCAUUCCAAGGACUUACUCAUGUUUCCCGGGUAUUUCCCAUACAUACAGGAGGGAUUUAUGUUAUUAAACUGUUUUUCUCUUGUUAGUCUGUACUUUAUUACAGGGGUUGGGUCCCAUCAAGAACCUAGAAGGGAGAGGGAAAAUUAUCUUUCCUCCCCUACAUAGUGGACACUCAGGCAAUAUUAAUUUGUCUUCCUGUCUUAGGGAAUCUUUGAGCUAAUAUGAUUAAAUGUAUGAUUUUCAAAAAUGUAUGAUUUUCAAAAAUAUAUCUUGAAUUUUUAUUAAUAUUCAUUCACUUCUAGGGAAGAUCUAUCAGCCUUUGUAUUAGGUUGAGAGUUAAUUUAAAAAAAUAGUGCAGAGUAUAACUCCUACCUAUACAAAUUAAGUUACUUUCAAGAUAUGGGAAGUUAGGUCUGAUUGUAGUUAAAAAUGUGAACAAUGUUUAUGUAACUUUAGUUAGGCAACAUCUGGAACUGAUCUUCAGAACUUUGAUUAACAGAAUCAGCGUGAUGAAUCCCAGAUGUUUAAACAUGGCUGUGUUUCUUAGACUCACUGGAUUAUGAGUGUGAAUACAUGGAAGGAAGGGAAACAUUUACAAGAACUAGGUGUCAAAGUGGCCAAGGGGGUAUUUGGGUGUUGGCUUAGUUGUGAGUUGAAGGGGAAGAGGUUCUAAAUGAAUUUCCCUCUUUAAAGUUUUAUACGUGUUAUUUUUAAAAAGCCCCAAUCUUUGAUAACCUCAGUAGUAUGUCUUAAUAACUUUACUCAUAUUUGUUCCUGCACAAGUAUAUUUUUGUGUAUCUACUAUAGUUAAAGUUCUGUGGUCAGAAAGAUAAAUAAUAAACAUUCUCUGCCUUUGAGUCACUCAGUUUAGUGGAGGAAAUGGGUAUGUGAACAGUAAUUAUAACUGCCAUAUUAAAGGGCUGAGUACAGAAAGUAACUAAGAGUGCCAGGGAAGGUAGGACAGUUUUAAAGAGAAUGAGAUGUGGGGCUCAGGGUUCCUGUACAUUAUUGCUACAAGCUGCAUUUAGCUUUGCUAAUGUAACUUCUAUAUAAUUAUAGGUCCAUUAGAUCAUGGGACUCUUUGUCAUGUCAUAAAACAGCAAUUUUUGAAAUCAUAAAACCAAAGUACUUUGACAAAGCACUCCACGAACAUAAUGGUAAAAAAAGAUUAGCAAUCAUAUGGACUUCACAUCAUUUGGUAAAGGUUCUAGAAAAACAUAUUUUAGUCUUUCUUUCCCACAAAUUGUGCUUUUAAGUGAAGGAAUGCCUUUUCCUUUUGCAGCUUUUUUCUUGCUCUCAUGCUUGACCAAUGUUGUGGACACAAAAGUAAAAUCGUAACUGUUCAGAGUCCAAAAUUACUUUAGAAGCCUUGGGGGGAAAGCUGUGUCCUGUUUUGUGACAUACUUUAGUUUUCAUAAAUUCUCCAUCUUCCCCCCCAAAGAUCAACUCUGAGUGAAAGGAAACAAUGGAGAGAACCCAAAUGCACUAUUGACAGCAAUUUUGAAGAACAAAUAAAAACCUAAAAUGCGUUAAUAGCACAGUUUCAGAGGUAGAAGAGGGGGAUUAAGUAUAAAAUAGUAACUUGAUGACAAGAAUAUAUAGGCUAAUUCUUAUGCAAAAGUUUUCAGGGAAAACGAAUGCCAUAGGCUCAAAUGUGCUCUAACUCCUUCCUUUUGCCAGCCAUGACUAGCCAUUGACCACUUUUGUAUCAUAUUCAAUGUCUUAAUACCUCCUUUUCUAUCACCCAUCAAAUCUAAACUGCCCAUUUAGUUUUUGAAAUUGUUUCCUCUGAACAAAUCUACCUAUCUCUACUUCCAGAGAACCUUAACCAACAGACCUGGGCUUUUAAAAAUUGACCUGACUGGAGCCAUUUCUAAAAUAGAGCCAGAGUGGUUUACACAGCUUUUGUUUAAACGGGGCCAAAACAUUUGGACUAGGCAAAAUGGCCAUUGCUAGAAAAUCAGCAGGAGAAAGAACAUUCUGAUCAUAAGACUGAUACCUAUGGACCUUCUAAAGAUAAAACUAGUAGUUAAAACCAGUACUCAAUACAUAACCCAGAGUGGCUUAGCUUGUUAACCCCAUAGAAAAAUAUUUUCUUCAACUAAUGUAAUUGCCCCCUUCCUUUCCCUCACAGAAAUUCAUGGCUUUCACCCAAUAAGCUGGACGAUAUUUGGGUUUCUCCCUGAUUUUGUGCUCUCCUCUAAUAUCACUCAAUUGCCACUCAUUGUGGCUUUUUAUUUUCAGGUUGAUACUAAUUUCCCAAAACUGUGUUUAAAUGUCAGUUGCUUAGAAAGGACUCCCUCAGUCAUCUAGGUUCGGUAAAAUCCACUUGUCACACAUGUCCAUAUUACCCCCGUCCCAUGGUCCUCAUCACACUUGUAAAUGCACGCUCAGGGUCUUCCUCACCUGACUGUAAGUUCCAGGAGAACAGGAACUUUUUUAUAUCUGCAUCAAUCAUUUUAUCUCCAGCUCAUCGUAUUCACACAGGAGAUACUCGUUGAAAAGAAUACAUUCGAUAUUUUUAUCACUGUAGUAGCUUAUGCCCU